rnacentral:rRNA from 1 species
CCUACGGGAGGCAGCAGUGAGGAAUAUUGGUCAAUGGGCGCGAGCCUGAACCAGCCAAGUCGCGUGAGGGAAGACGGUCCUAUGGAUUGUAAACCUCUUUUGUCGGGGAGCAAAAGACGCCACGCGUGGCGUUCCGAGAGUACCCGAAGAAAAAGCAUCGGCUAACUCCGUGCCAGCAGCCGCGGUAAUACGGAGAAUGCGAGCGUUAUCCGGAUUUAUUGGGUUUAAAGGGUGCGCAGGCGGAAGAUCAACGCAGCGGUAAAAGUGAGAGGCUCAACCCCUUCGAGCCGUUGAAACUGGUGUUGUUGAGUGAGCGAGAAGUAUGCGGAAUGCGCGGUGUAGCGGUGAAAUGCAUAGAUAUCACGCAGAACUCCGAUUGCGAUGGCAGCAUACCGGCGCUCAACGGACGCUCAGGCACGAAAGUGUGGGUAUCGAACAGGAGUAGAUACCCCUGUAGUC